AGAGUUUGAUCCUGGCUCAGGACGAACGCUGGCGGCGUGCCUAAUACAUGCAAGUCGAACGCUUCUUUCCUCCCGAGUGCUUGCACUCAAUUGGAAAGAGGAGUGGCGGACGGGUGAGUAACACGUGGGUAACCUACCCAUCAGAGGGGGAUAACACUUGGAAACAGGUGCUAAUACCGCAUAACAGUUUAUGCCGCAUGGCAUAAGAGUGAAAGGCGCUUUCGGGUGUCGCUGAUGGGAUGGGACCCCCGGUGCAUUAGCUAGUUGGGGGAGGUAACGGCUUCACCCAAGGCCAACGAUGCAUAGCCCGACCUGAGAGGG
rnacentral:rRNA from 1 species